rnacentral:rRNA from 1 species
GUGAGGAAUUUUCCGCAAUGGGCGAAAGCCUGACGGAGCAAUGCCGCGUGAAGGAUGAAGGCCUAUGGGUUGUAAACUUCUUUUCUUAGAGAAGAAUAUUUACGGUAUCUGAGGAAUAAGCAUCGGCUAACUCUGUGCCAGCAGCCGCGGUAAGACAGAGGAUGCAAGCGUUAUCCGGAAUGAUUGGGCGUAAAGCGUCUGUAGGUGGCUUCAAAAGUCUCCUGUCAAAGAUCAGGGCUUAACCCUGGGCCGGCAGGAGAAAGUCGGAGGCUAGAGUUUGGUAGGGGCAGAGGGAAUACCCGGAUGAGCGGUGAAAUGCGUAGAGAUCGGGAGGAACACCAAAGGCGAAAGCACUCUGCUGGGCAACAACUGACACUGAGGGACGAAAGCGAGCGGAGCAAAAGGGAUUAGAAACCCGAGUAGUCC